rnacentral:rRNA from 1 species
UACUCGAGCGGCGAACGGGUGAGUAACACGUGAGCAACCUGCCCCAGGCUCUGGGAUAACCCUCGGAAACGGGGGCUAAUACCGGAUAGGACCUUUCACCGCAUGGUGGGGGGUGGAAAGUUUUUUUCGGCCUGGGAUGGGCUCGCGGCCUAUCAGCUUGUUGGUGGGGUGAUGGCCUACCAAGGCGUUGACGGGUAGCCGGCCUGAGAGGGUGUCCGGCCACGCUGGGACUGAGACACGGCCCAGACUCCUACGGGAGGCAGCAGUGGGGAAUAUUGCACAAUGGGCGAAAGCCUGAUGCAGCGACGCCGCGUGAGGGAUGACGGCCUUCGGGUUGUAAACCUCUUUCAGCUCCGACGAAGCGCAAGUGACGGUAGGAGCAGAAGAAGCGCCGGCCAACUACGUGCCAGCAGCCGCGGUAAGACGUAGGGCGCGAGCGUUGUCCGGAUUUAUUGGGCGUAAAGAGCUCGUAGGCGGCCUGUCGCGUCAAUCGUGAAAUU